rnacentral:lncRNA from 1 species
CCGCUAUGUGUCACUGCAAGCCUUGUGUCUGCCUCUGACUGGACCGCUGUGUUCACCAAUCUGUCUGACAAGAGUCGGGGAAACACUGGAGCAGGAUGACCCUGCUGAGUCGUCGCCUCACUCCUCGGAAUCCUGACGUCUUGCUGGAUCAGCGAUCCUUCUGUUUGAGUCAAGUAUUUGGGGGUCUGUCUGCCUUCAGUCAAGGAGACAGCUCGGAAGGAAAGCAAAGCCCAGAGCAGCAGCGAGACAGCCCCGAAAGGUGCCGCGGGCAGACCUGGGGCGCACAGGCUGUCGGGCAAGGGGAAGGGAGUCGGGCUGCAUGAGACGGCGGCGCGGCCAGCAGGCGACAAGCCGAAGUGGGGGAGAUGGAACAAGGAGGACCAGGGAAAAGAGCCAGAGGAAUAGUCUUAGCUGUUUCUUCUUCAAGAGAGGAAAAAAUAAUCCUAAAGAAAGCAACACAAAUCUUACUAAAGCCAUCAUCAAAUAAAGUGCACAAAAGCAGUGGAAGUGAAUCCCCAGCCCCUGCCCCCACCACCCACCAAAGUAACACAAACUCUCCACUCCUCCCUAACAACUCCCAAGGUCUUGGCCAGUUUGAAGCAGGCCUACUAACUAUAAUAAUAAAAAUAGUAACUAACAGCAUUGAACAAUAAUACGCAUUUCAUAACAAGCAUUCAUUCAGUGUUCGUUCUGUGCCAGGCACUGUGCUAAGUGCUUUGCAU